UUACGCGUCCUGUGAUUGGAUACUCACCGGAACACAGAGUUGAGAGACAGUUGUGAUAGCCAAUCAGAUCACAAGUUGUUGACAGUAGCCUAUCUAGGUAGCCUGAUGUUAACGAGACUGUGAUUGGAUACACACUUGUCAUUCCAAAAUUGAGUAUCCAUUCCCAAGUUUCAAUUUAGCAGGAAGCAGAAAGUGUUGCCAGACCGGGAUAGCAGAGAAGGAGAACAAAACGUGGAUUAGGUGUCAAUAUGAAUUUGCAAGGCCAUUUUCAAGAAGGAUAUUUAAAGAGAAAGUACAUCUUGUGAGACGAUGUCGGCCAACCCCGGAAGCUAGCUCAGCUGGACGAGGGGUACCACUGGCUUAUACGGCAUCGAAUAGGUCCUACUAAUUGGAUCCAGAAGUAAUUUAGUUUCGGACCAUCUUCAACGGCUGCUAAUUUAUGAGUGAAGAAAUAAAAUGCAAGAAUACCUGGAGCACAUUCAAUCAAAACAGUGGACUCACCUACACUUCCUGCAAUGAGCAGUUUUCCCAGAAACAACAGGAAUUCAGUCACCUUGUCGAGGACGGCCACCCUGAAAGCACAAAAACAAACUUCUGAUGCAUGGAAACAACUCGCCGACUAUCACUGCUGCUGGAGAAAUAGUCUCCAACGCCAACAACCUUGAUGCAGAAAUUGACAUACGCAUUGGAAGGGCAUCGUCAAUUUUCAGCAAAUUGAGAAAGCGUGUCUGGCACAACAAGAACCUUUCUUUGCUCC